rnacentral:lncRNA from 1 species
AGCUGCUCCAGCCUCGUCCUCUGGCCCCAGUCUCUUCUUCAUCUUCCUUCACCUUCUUUUUGACUCUGGAAAGCCUCCCCCAAACCCCAGGACAAAGAUGACUUUUGGAAGAUUGCCCAAAACGAAAGCUUAGAGUGCGCCCUGGGCUCUGGGAGAUGGAGGAGAGAGGCGAAAGGAGGAGUCAAUGGUUUGCCCAGUGCUGCGGGGAGGCGCUUUGCACGCUCUAGAUCGCAAGCCAAGCGUCUAGUGCCAAGAGCUGUCAGGCAAAAGACUGGUCAGCUGGAGAGACUUCUCGGGACGCGGAGAGGUAGAACAGGUUUGCAGAGCGCUGGCAGCCUCGGUUGACACUAAGGAUCUAUUGCCCCGUGCGCGCGCGAUGCGUGAGCUGAAUUGGGAUGGAAGGGCCUGUUGAAGAGCCAGGGAAGCAGCGUUUAGGAGAGAGUUUUCCGAGGCCACGCCGUGACGGUCGACAUUAAUAUUAGUGGAAAGACGCGUGCCCCGCAGUAAGAUCAUGAAAAGGGAUCCAGGAAAUGAAAGAGGAGAGGCAAGAAGGUAAGAAACACACACGCGUUCCUCAGAAAUUGCGUGGGGAUGGGUGUCUUUAGUGGUUCAGGACUGUCAAGCUGACUCUGAGACUAUAGAAGAGACCACGCUAAUGCAACCCUCUACAAGGCAUCCUUAAACCCAGCAGAGCGGAAAGCUAAUGCCCUUUCCUUUCCGCCCGGAUGCAAGACUGGAUGGAAGGCAUCCAACAUGAUGAAAUACGGUGCAGAAGAAUGGUCUGGGCAGAAGGAGCGCUGGGUACUAAAGUUGCAUGACCAAAGAGAUCCGAGAGCUGUCUGCCACACCCCCUUCCUGCCUGGUUCCCUUUCUGACUGGCCCGGUCCUCCCUUGGACUAUGAUGAACACGACUGCAGCGCCCCCUGCUGUGGGGAAGCUACAGGGCACAGAAAACGCGUCCUUGCAGGGCUGACUUCCAACUUCCCCUUUUGCACCUAACCAGCAAGCUCUUCAAAGAUAAUAAGGAAAGUGGACUCCCUGGGUAUGUGGCAGCGAUCUGAAAAGUUUGAACGCCUGCAGAAUAAGGAUGUCUGACUUCACAAAGAAAUCGUUUGGAAACUGACAAAUAUUUUACAACUUCAAAAGUAUUUAAAACUUAGCCUGCAAAAUAAAAAACAUCUUCAUAAAAGUUAUGAAGACCCCGUUCUAAAGUAUACAAGCUAAAGAACUGAUUAUGUACCACGAAAGCUGUGAAGCUGAGAUCUUAAUUUUCUUGGCACCGGGUUGCAGCACUUGGGUUGAAGAGAGCAAACGGUUGCUGAGGGCCAUGGCCAUGCACAAGGAACAACAAAUGGUCUUAAAACUCAUGGAAUGUUGUCCACUGGUUACCACAGCCACGCUGGAUUUUCUUUGGUAGGGAAUGACCCCAGGAUCACGUGUCCUGAGGACUUCAUGCUGUAAUGGAGUUCUGCUCUGCUUGCUGCCCUCACAUCACUCUUAAUCUAAGAGAACUCUAAAGAGGCUUGCAGACUCUCACUGGGCAGGAUCUCUGGCACUCACAACAACAAUGCUUGAUUCCUUUCAGGCAUUGCUGCUGGAAGAGAUUACUGAUCCAACACCACCCUAGGAAAGAAUCUAGAGACAUAGAUUGUAAGUUAUGACAGCCGCCCUUGGGAAGCAUUUAGAAAAAUAAAAUUGUGAGUGAAGCUAGGUUAAGAUGCUUUUGCUACAGGCUCCCAGUGUAGAAAAUCUUAGGGAACAAUUUGAAGUUCAAAAAGGCACACUUUUAUUUGUUAAGCUAGGGACCUUUUAUGGUCAGGGAAUAAGAACAAUGGCAGCACUGGCUGACGAUUCACAAUGAGGCUGGACUGAUGAUUUCUUUCUUCCUUUCUUUCUCUCUCUGUCUUUCUUCCUUCCUUCCUUUCUUCCUUCUUUCUUUCUUUCUUUCUUUCCUUCCUUCCUUCCUUCCUUCCUUCUUUCCUUCUUCUUCUUUCCUUCUUCCUUUCUUUCUUUCUUAAUUUCUUUCUUUCCAUUUAUUUAUUUAUUUAUUUAUUUAUUUAUUUAUUUAUUUAUUUAUUUAUUUAUUACUUAUUCACUUUACAUCCUUCUCACUUCCCGCUUUCUGGUCACCCUCUCCCACAAUCCUUCCUCCAUCCUCCAUCUCCUUCUCUUCUAGGCAGGUGAGAGUCCCCUUGGCUGUCCCCCCACUCUGAUACUUCAAGUCUCUGCCAGGCUAGGUGCUUCCUUUCCCACCGAGGCCAGGCAAAGUAACCCAGCUAGAAGACCAUAUCUCACAUACAGGCAGCAGCUUUUGGGAUAGCUCCCAUUCCUAUUGUUCAGGAUCCACAUGAAGACCAAGCUGUCCAUCUGCUACAAGUGAGCUGGAAGAGCUAGUUCCAGCCAGUGUAUGUUCUUUGGUUGGAAGCUCAGGCUCUUAGAGCCUCAAGGGUCCAGGUUAGUUGACUUUGUUGGUCUUCUUGUGGAGUUCGAUCCCCAUCAGGACCCACAGUCCUUCCUCCUAUUCUUCCAUGAGUCCCCAAGCUCCAUCCACAGUUUGACUUUGUGUGUCUAUAUCUAUCUAAGUCAGCUGCUGGGUGGAGCCUCUCAGAGGACAGCCAUGCUAGACUCCUGUCUUCAAGUAUAACAGAGUAUCAUUAAUAGUGUUAGGGAUUGGUACUUGCCCAUGGAAUGAAUCUCAAGUUGGAUCAGUUAUUGGUAGGCUAUUCCAAAAAUACCUUAUUUUGCUUUCACCUUUUCUGAUAUGAUUUAAUAAGAAUUGCUGGUGAGGAGAUAUGCAUUCUGAGGAUUUAAAGUAGGUCUGAAUGAUCUUUCUAUAAAAACUGAGAUUUCUGUUUCUUUUAAGAUUCUUAUAAGAAAAUAUUUGAUCUUUUCUUUGUAACCGCAAAUCACUGCCUGCCAGUAAGAGAAACUGGCUGAGAAAACUGUCUUGCUUACUUACACUUUGUUAAUCUAUAGCAAGUUGCUUAGUUACAAAUGUAUAUAGGUUCUUAGGAAUAUUUUUUUUUUACCUGUGCUACCUAACAUUAUUUCUUAUAAAGGUAUUGGGGAACACACAGUUUCUUCAUAGUCAUUUCCUGGAAGAAAACUAGAUCAUAAUCACACUGUAACUUUAUACUGCUUGAAAGAUUUUGCUGGGAUAUAUAUGCCAUACAAUAAGGAAUAAAGUUGUUGGAACAUUGUUCCUUCCACCCAUCAA